rnacentral:rRNA from 1 species
GACGAACGCUGGCGGCGUGCUUAACACAUGCAAGUCGAGCGGUAAGGCCCUUUCGGGGGUACACGAGCGGCGAACGGGUGAGUAACACGUGGGUGACCUGCCCUCAGCUCUGGGAUAAGCCUGGGAAACCGGGUCUAAUACCGGAUAUGACUCCAUGACGCAUGUUGUGGGGUGGAAAGCCUUGUGCGGCUGAGGAUGGGCCCGCGGCCUAUCAGCUUGUUGGUGGGGUGANGGCCUACCAAGGCGACGACGGGUAGCCGGCCUGAGAGGGCGACCGGCCACACUGGGACUGAGACACGGCCCAGACUCCUACGGGAGGCAGCAGUGGGGAAUCUUGCGCAAUGGGCGAAAGCCUGACGCAGCGACGCCGCGUGA